GUUUACGGCCAUACCAGCCUGGGUACGCCCGAUCUCGUCUGAUCUCGGAAGCUAAGCAGGGUCGGGCCUGGUUAGUACUUGGAUGGGAGACCGCCUGGGAACACCAGGUGCUGUAAGCU
rnacentral:rRNA from 1 species